rnacentral:rRNA from 1 species
AACGAACGCUGGCGGCAUGCUUAACACAUGCAAGUCGAACGAGACCUUCGGGUCUAGGGGCGCACGGGUGCGUAACGCCUGGGAACCUGCCCUUAGGUUCGGAAUAACUCCCCGUAAGGGGUGCUAAUACCGGUUAAUGUCUUCGGACCAAAGAUUUAUCGCCUUUGGAUGGGCCCGCGUUGGAUUAGCUAGUUGGUAGGGUAAAAGCCUACCAAGGCGACGAUCCAUGGCUGGUCUGAGAGGAUGAUCAGCCGCGCUGGGACUGCGACACGGCCCAGACUCGUACGGGAGGCAGCAGUGGGGAAUAUUAGACGAUGGGCGAAAGCCUGAUCCAGCAAUGCCGCGUGAGUGAGGAAGGCCUUAGGGUUGUAAAGCUCUUUUACCCGGGAUGAUAAUGACAGUACCGGGAGAAUAAGCUCCGGCUAACUCCGUG